UUCUGGUGAAAGAAUUCAGAACUUAUAUAGAAUAUAUAAGCAACCAUCAGAAGAAGAGAAUGAAAUGAAGGAUGAAGAAUUUGUUCCAGAAAGUAGUCCAUCAUCGGUGACGAUGUCGGACAGUUUAAGUUUGGGAACGGCGACGUAUCUCGGUUCUAUGAUAUUAAAAGAUAGGUGAUAAUUAAAAGGCAAUUAAAAGAAAAUUAUUUAUUGAAGACAUUCAAAAUUUGUAUUUUGUUAAAUUUGUAAUAAGUUAUAUUUACAAAUUUAUAACAUUGAAAAUAAAAGUUUUUCUCAUCCGUUCUCCUUUAUCUGGCAUUAUUCAGUUAAGAUUUACUUUUAAUUAGCAAUUUAUUAAAUAAUUUAAAACUCGAGUACCAAAAGUGCAAAAUUAUAAUUGAAACUAUUUUUGUCCUUUAUACAGGCUCUGAACACAUUCAUU